AGAGUUUGAUCCUGGCCCAGGAUGAACGCUGGCGGCGUGCCUAAUACAUGCAAGUCGAACGAGGUGCUUUUGUAGCAAUACGAGAGUAUCCUAGUGGCGAACGGGUGAGUAACGCGUUGGUGACCUACCCCAAAGUGUGGGAUAACAGUCCGAAAGGAUUGCUAAUACCGCAUGUGGUCUUCGGAUUUAGAAACUGAUGACUAAAGGAGCAAUUCGCUUUGGGAGGGACCUGCGUCCCAUCAGCUAGUUGGUGAGGUAAUGGCUCACCAAGGCUACGACGGGUAGGGGACCUGAGAGGGUGACCCCCCACAAUGGAACUGAAACACGGUCCAUACACCUACGGGUGGCAGCAGUAGGGAAUAUUGCACAAUGGGCGAAAGCCUGAUGCAGCAACGCCGCGUGUGCGAUGAAGGCCUUCGGGUCGUAAAGCACUUUUCUGGGAGAUGAGCAAGGACAGUAUCUCAGGAAUAAGUCUCGGCUAACUACGUG
rnacentral:rRNA from 1 species